rnacentral:rRNA from 1 species
AUACGUAGGGGGCGAGCGUUGUCCGGAAUGAUUGGGCGUAAAGGGCGCGUAGGCGGCCCGGUAAGUCUGGAGUGAAAGUCCUGUUUUUGAGAUGGGAAUUGCUUUGGAUACUGUCGGGCUUGAGUGCAGGAGAGGUAAGUGGAAUUCCCAGUGUAGCGGUGAAAUGCGUAGAGAUUGGGAGGAACACCAGUGGCGAAGGCGACUUACUGGACUGUAACUGACGCUGAGGCGCGAAAGUGUGGGGAGCAAACAGGAUUAGAUACCCUGGUAGUCCACACUGUAAACGAUGAAUGCUAGGCGUAGGGGGUAUCGACCCCUUCUGUGCCGCAGUCAACACAAUAAGCAUUCCGCCUGGGGAGUACGGCCGCAAGGUUGAAACUCAAAUGAAUUGACGGGG